ACCAGGUGAGAAGUCGGUAAGUGGGGCUUGUGCAGAGAGCCCCGCAAGCUCAGCGCAGUAAGGAAAAUGCGCCACACCUGAACAUCCUUGGGCUCAGUUCCUUUUCUUCUCCGGUUCCGGGUGCUGCGGACGUCUGCCGCAGGUGCCUCCCGCACUCCCUGCCCCGGGCGCCGCCGCGAGUGUGGCCCGCUCCCCACCCUCUCGGCGCCGACGCAGUGCGCGGAGCAGGGCCGGUGCUCGCAGCCGGUGGCCCGGAGGGGCGCGCUCUGGGCUGGCGCAGCUCGCUCCGCAUCCCUUUCCUCCCGGCUCCUGGCGCCCUCCUAUCUCCGUCUGCAGUCCCAGGCCCCGCCAUGGGGAAUGUGCCAUCUGCGGUGAAGCACUGCCUCAGCUACCAGCAGCUUCUCCGGGAGCAUCUCUGGAUCGGGGAUUCAGUGGCUGGGGCGCUCGACCCUGCGCAGGAAACAUCCCAGUUAUCUGGAUUCCCUGAGUAUGUUAAAAUAGUGGAAGUUGGACCUAGGGAUGGAUUGCAGAAUGAAAAGGUUAUAGUUCCUACAGAUAUAAAAAUUGAAUUUAUCAAUCAACUUUCCCAAACUGGCUUGUCUGUAAUAGAAGUGACCAGCUUUGUGUCCUCCAGAUGGGUACCACAGAUGGCUGAUCACACUGAAGUGAUGAAAGGCAUUCAUCAAUACCCAGGAGUUCGAUAUCCUGUCCUUACUCCUAAUCUUCAGGGUUUUCACCGUGCUGUUGCUGCUGGAGCCACUGAGAUAUCAGUUUUUGGUGCUGCAUCUGAAUCCUUUAGCAAGAAGAAUAUUAACUGUUCUAUUGAAGAAAGUAUGGAGAAGUUUGAGGAGGUUGUUAAGUCUGCGAGGCACAUGAAUAUUCCAGCACGAGGGUAUGUGUCUUGUGCCCUGGGCUGUCCAUAUGAAGGAAACAUCACACCACAAAAAGUGACAGAAGUAUCUAAGAGAUUGUAUGGUAUGGGCUGUUAUGAGAUCUCUCUGGGAGACACCAUUGGAGUGGGAACUCCAGGAAGCAUGAAGAGAAUGUUGGAGAGUGUCAUGAAAGAAAUCCCACCUAGUGCUCUUGCCGUUCACUGCCAUGACACAUAUGGACAAGCCUUAGCAAAUAUCCUUACGGCCCUUCAGAUGGGGAUUAAUGUGGUGGACUCGGCAGUAUCCGGAUUAGGUGGCUGCCCUUAUGCAAAAGGUGCUUCUGGAAAUGUAGCCACUGAGGAUUUGAUAUAUAUGCUUAAUGGCUUGGGGCUCAGCACAGGUGUGAAUCUUUACAAAGUGAUGGAAGCUGGUGACUUUAUUUGCAAAGCUGUGAAUAAAACUACAAACUCUAAAGUAGCACAAGCCUCCUUCAAUGCUUGACUUGAAUGAACUUGACUCAAGGCUGAAAAGAUCGGUUUCAGCUACAGAUACUUAUCUGAAAUUCAUUACUGUCAACUUGUUCUGAAAUGUGAAGUGAUAGACAAGAGUGGGAAAAUAUAAUUUUAAAGAGUAUUACUGGAUAGAUUACAAAAUCAGUGGAAAGCAAUACCAAUCAUUGGUAAAUUGCAAGCUGAAGCUAAAUAAUACGAUUUGUAGACAUGCUUUUGAACUUGGAGAAAAGUCUACUCUUUUGCUCUUAUAGAAAUAACUUUUUAAUUUAGUAGAUGUGAAAAUUGACUUCAGAUUUCCCUAAGUAUCAAAUGCUGUGUUAAUACUUAAUCAAGCUGGCUUAGCACAGUAUACAUAUUGUCAGUAGUUUAUGAGCUCCUGCAUAGUGUGCAAAGUGUGUGGCCUUGAUAUUAUGCAUUAUGCCUCUGCAUCUCAACUUUCCAUUUGCCAAGUCAGUUAAAUUAUGGCCCAAGCGCCAAAUCUCCAUCUGACCGUACAUAAUUUUUAGCAAUAGAACUUUUAUAUUUCUAGUAUGGCUAACAUCUGUUAACUAUUUCAAUGAAUUUAUCUUAUUCCAAGAGGCUGUGGUCAAUGGCAAGAUGCCAUAUCCUGGAAACAUUAUGACCUCCCAUGUUUGUUAUAUGCAUCCAGUUUACCAUAUUUUCUCUUUCAUCAAUUUUGGUAAAAACCAGGAUGGUGUUACUCAACUAUUGAAAAAUAUAAGGUCCGACUUUCAUCUCAAUGUUUCAGUUGCAAUGCUAAGAAUAGAUUGAUACAUAUAUUAUAAUCCACUUUGAUAAUUCUCAGAUCACACCCAAAUUGCCAAAGGAAAGGUCACUGUGAUCCUGAGAAUAUUAAGGCAGUUUUUAAUUCAUGGAAACAAAAACAAAAACAAAACUGUUUUCCAUUGAUUCAGGGUACUUUGAUUAAAUCACAUUAUUUUUUUUGGUUGACUUUAUGGUUAUUUUUAAUGUUGAAAUGACUGAAAUUUUAUCUCUUGUAAUAGGAAGCAUUGCCAGAAAUAACAAAAAUUAAUAUAUCGAAGUUGAGAAGAGGAGCAGGAAGACUAUGUUAAGAAAAAACAUUUCUGUAACCUAGGCAAAUCAUAAGCGGACAGAAUUAUUAAAUGCAGAUAUGAGUGACAGCUUAUACAACAUUGAAUAAGUUAGCCACAAAUAUCAUCCUUAUCAGAAUUGUCAAGAAGAGAUAAAAUGAAGGCCUGGGCACCAGCCAGA